CGGACGAACGCUGGCGGCGUGCCUAACACAUGCAAGUCGAGCGAAGUUUAGAAGAAGUACUUGUACGGAAUUUAAACUUAGCGGCGGACGGGUGAGUAACACGUGAGCAACCUACCUUUCACUGUGGAAUAACAACGGGAAACCGUUGCUAAUACCGCAUAACAUCUUACCUGGGCAUCCAGGAAAGAUCAAAGAUUUAUCGGUGAAAGAUGGGCUCGCGUCCGAUUAGUUAGUUGGUGGGGUAAUGGCCUACCAAGACCGCGAUCGGUAGCCGAACUGAGAGGUUGAUCGGCCACAUUGGGACUGAGACACGGCCCAGACUCCUACGGGAGGCAGCAGUGGGGAAUAUUGCACAAUGGGGGAAACCCUGAUGCAGCGAUGCCGCGUGGAGGAUGAAGGCCUUCGGGUUAGUAAACUGUCUUUUGUACGGAAACGAAAACGGCCCCUUCAAAUAAAGGGGGCCCAUGACGGUACCGUAAGAAUAAGCACCGGCUAACUACGUG
rnacentral:rRNA from 1 species